rnacentral:lncRNA from 1 species
CAAAAUUUAGCUAAUUGUUUAUAGGUUGAUUGGAAGCUCCACUGUGCCUACCAGCCUCAAAGUUCUGGACAGGUAGAAUGUAUGAAUAGAACCAUCAAGGACACAGUUUCCAAGAUGGCUCUGGAGUCUGGUGAAAACUGGGUGAGUCUCCUGCCUUUUGCCUUCUUGUGUGCUUAAUGCACCCCCUACAUCCAAGGUAUUACCCCCUUUGAGGCUAUAUGUGGGAGACCCCCACGUCUGGUACCCAAGCUCCAUAGUGUCCAUUCUGAAACCAUAUGUAACCAAGAUCUCAUUAAGUCCCUCCAGGUUCUACAGCUGGUGCUUCAAGAGGCCCAUUGCCUCUUCAGUGAACAUCACAAACUGAACACUGACCAACUGAACUCCCCACCCAUCACAGAGCCCGGUUCCUUAGUCUGGGUUAAAAAGAGGGACUCUCACACCUUGGACUCUCUCUGGACAAGCCCACACACUAUCGUCCUCAGCACUCCUACCUUGAUCAAAGUCUCUGGGAAGGACGCUUGGAUCCACCAUGCCCACAUCAAGCCUUUCCUCGGGCCUGAUUCCGAGUCAACAUGGAGAGUCCAAACCACAGACGACAUUAUGGGUAAAACUAAAACGUGCUGUAGCCAGAUCACCUGUCCUGGAGAGGAGAAAAGACCUGGGGAGUGUGCCUAUAUGUUUCAGGGUAUGACCCAGGGUUCUGGUUAAACAUCCAAAUGGAAAUGAGUGCUCCUAACCCACCAUUACCCCUGGGGCCUUUGGUACCUAUCCUACAACCUGCUUAUCCUACUCCCAGGACCAUCUCGACUUCCUUUUCUCCAACCCUAGGUCUACGUCAAACUAGUCCUCUGGCUUCCCCUCUUUUGCUCCCACUAGAUAUUAUGUUCUCCUAUCUAAAUAGAUCAAACCCAACAUGCCAAAGAUUGUUGGUUAUGCCUAGACCCCUCC